rnacentral:misc_RNA from 1 species
AUGAUAUCUUAUUUAUUAAGGAUAAUUUAAAUGUUGUUUCAAAUGAAUAGCUACAUAGUUCACAUGUAGAAGUAAGCAGCGCCGGUGAAGCAGAGAUAGGAUGCUACUUUUACACUUGUUAUUUUGAGUUGCAAAGUUUACUGUUGUUGGAUCAAAUGCAAGUCCAGUGCUUAAUAGAGUCACAGUUUAGAGUUUACCAAUGAAAAAUAACAUUACAUACUUGAAGAUUUUGAAGGGGCCUAGCUUGUACUUUUGUUCCAUGUAUUUGAUAAUUUGAAAUUAUUGUUUUAUCAUGUAAUGAGAUUGCCCACCCCAUCCAACUGCCUGAAACAUUUGGGUACUCAAAUUCAACACCAACCCCUCCUCUCCCCCAAAACCAAACCCCCCCGGAUCUCCCUCCUCUCCCCCAAAACCAA